UCUAAGAAUGCUUUGGUAAUAUCAGUAUGACAGUUUUGAGUUCAGUAUUUAUCAGGAUUCUAACGCGAAAUUUUGUUUUUCUUCGGAAAUAAUUUGUAUGUUUUCGUUUAUCCAUUUAUUACUUGAGCUUAAAAAAAAUGAACAAUCUUUCCCAGCUCAAUGCGGGUGCCGAUGUCCUGUGGAUGUAACAAGCAAGAGAACCUUCAAUUCGGAGAAAGCGUGCCUGAGGUUCCAAAUGCAACAAUACUAUUGCCUUCGGAUUUAUUUGGCAGUCAGAAAUAAAUUAAGACUAGUGCAUAUCGAAGAAAAUGAUUCGUGAUUGAUUUGUUAUAUUUUAGACAGACACCGGAAGCUACAGACCGAGAAGAUCUUCGACAAACAUUGCUAAUGGUCACAGUAGCGUUGCUACCAAAUGAGCUCCUAGGCAGUAAUUUCCAUUUACAAAUAAUUUUAUGAAAUAAAGUAUUUUAUAAUGUUGCCGUAAA
rnacentral:lncRNA from 1 species